GAAGAAGAAAAGACUUGAGGCGCAAGAAACCUAAGAGUGAAGAAGAAGAUUACUCUCUUCUCUCUCUACAAGAACAAGAAAAGAAACAAGGGAGUAAAGAGACUGUGUGUGCUUGUGUAAUGGGUCUGGUUUGUUCUUCGUUGGUCACUAAAGAGACUCGGCUAUACAAUGUUUGAAAAGGAAGAGAUUAUAUGAGCAACAAGUUGAACAGCUUGGCAACUUCCAGCUCCGUAUCCAUGAUCAAAUGAUUAUGUUGGAAGGUGCCAAAGCAACAACAGAGACUGUAGAUGCUUUGAGGACUGGUGCUGCUACUAUGAAAGCUAUGCAGAGAGCUGCGUACGUGUUUUAUAUAUAUACCUAACCUCUUUUUUAUUUAUUUAAGCAGCAGACUAAGUGUGCGAUGUGUGUUUUGGCAGAAACAUUGACGAUGUUGACAAGACGAUGGAUGAGAUCAAUGAGCAAACCGAUAACAUGAAACAGAUCCAGGACGCAUUGUCUGCUCCCUUUGGCUCUGCUGCUGAUUUC